UAGCUGUCAGGUCUUCGACUGGACUUCUUUCCCAAAAAGAGAAGUUCGCCAUCCCGUCACACAAGGCAGCUGCACAUUUGUGGACUAAAGUGAACAGUGACCAUUAUGGAAGAGCCAGUGCCCCAGAAAAAGGGCCAGCCUUAUGUGACACACAUGGGACUGAAGAAUGAGCAAAGGAUUCAACAAAAGGAUCUGGGAAGCAUC